rnacentral:rRNA from 1 species
GCUCAGGACGAACGCUGGCGGCGCGCCUAACACAUGCAAGUCGAACGAGAGAUGAGGAGCUUGCUCUUCAAAUCGAGUGGCGAACGGGUGAGUAACGCGUGAGGAACCUGCCUCAAAGAGGGGGACAACAGUUGGAAACGACUGCUAAUACCGCAUAAGCCCACGGCUCGGCAUCGAGCAGAGGGAAAAGGAGUGAUCCGCUUUGAGAUGGCCUCGCGUCCGAUUAGCUAGUUGGUGAGGUAACGGCCCACCAAGGCAACGAUCGGUAGCCGGACUGAGAGGUUGAACGGCCACAUUGGGACUGAGACACGGCCCAGACUCCUACGGGAGGCAGCAGUA